UUUCCGUAGGUGAACCUGCGGAAGGAUCAUUAUAAAUGGCUCCGCGUUAGGAGCACUUAAUAAUCCACCUUUGUGAAUUGUUGUUUGAAAUAAUUUUUUUUAAAUUAUUGAAUGUCCUUCCCUGUUGAAUUAGAGUGUUUCGGACACAAAGAUUCGCAGGGGAUAGUCAAUAAUUUUAAAAAGACCUUUUUUAAAUUAAACUUUUUGUAUUCAUUUGUCUAAAAUUAUUUUAUAAUAUAAAAACAACUUUUGACAAUGGAUCUCUUGGUUCUCGCAACGAUGAAGAACGCAGCAAAUGCGAUAAGUAGUGUGAACUGCAGAAUACGUGAAUCAUCGAAUCUUCGAACGCAUAUUGCACUUUUUAGUUUACUAAAAAGUAUGUCUGUUUGAGUAUCAGUAAAAUAUUCUCAUAAAACAUUGUUUUUAUGGUUAUGAGUGUUUUACAACGAUACAAGUUGUUUCACUUUAAAUUUUUUAAAAUUUGAAUUUUUUCUAAUUUUAAAUAAAUUGGAUAAAAUUUUCCCGUAAAAGGAAUAACCUAAACAUUUUAAUUUUAAUAAUUAGAAUUCAAAUAUCAAAAGGAUUAUUCAAAAUAACUUGAUCUCAAAUCAGAUAAGAGUACCCGCUGAACUUAAGCAUAUCAAUAAGCGGAGAAAAGAACUAACAGGAUUCCCUUAGUAACGGCGAGUGAGCGGGAAGAGCUCAAAUUUGAAUCUUCAAGGUUUACCUUGACGAAUUGUAGUUUAAAGAAGUGUUUUCUGUUGAAGUUUUGGUAAAAGUUCUUUGGAAUAGACAUCAUAGAGGGUGAGAAUCCGUAUUUGACCAUUAUUUUCAGCUGUGUGAUACACUUUCAAGAGUCGGAUGUUUGGGAAUGCAGUCCAAAUGGGUGGUAAAUUUCAUCUAAAGCUAAAUUGGCGAGAGACGAUAGCGAACAGUACGUGAGGGAAGAUGAAAGAACUUUGAAAGAGAGUUAACAGUACGUGAAAUUGUCAAAGGGAAGCGUUUGACACCAGUGUUGUUUCUCGAAAAUCAAUUAAAAAAAGUUGGGAUUUUGUGUUGUAUUGACCUUAACAGCUUUCUGCACUCUUUCCUGCUUUUUUAAUGCACUUUUCAUUAACAAGUCAACAUCAGUUUCUUUUGUUGUAAAGGUCAUUGGAAGGUGGCUUUCUUUUCGGAGAAAGUGUUUAUAGCCUUUGACUCUGCAAUGGAGAGAUGAGGUCUGCAGCGUAGAUCCUUCGGGUUAGAUGCAUUGUGCUAGUUAUAACUUUCAUAGACAACUUGUUGACUAUGUAGUCAUGUGCUUACUCGCUGAUGCUUUUUACUACGCUUAGGAUGUUG
rnacentral:misc_RNA from 1 species